UGCCCUUGGUCCAAUCUACCGAGCUCCUUCGUGGUAUGCGAGAAUUGGGCGCCACCUCAAGGCUGUGGAGACAGCCCCUGCCCUUGGGGUAUUACCCACACCCUGGCAAGAGAAGAUGUAUGCCAGUUGCCCACAAGACCAGUUGUGUGGAACAAGCAUACGUGAGAGGAGGCACUAAGUGUUGAAAGUGACGAAAUCUGCAAACACUUGACUUAAUUUGAGUGACCGUGUUUUUGUAGCCAAUACCAAGAACCCUCUUCUACUCAACUUUUGUCUCAAAAGAAAGGAAUUCAGCCAAAUCACAUGGAUCUGAUCAUAACACCCAUUACUGAAACAAAACUGGAAUGAUCUUAACUUUGAAAAUAGCCAUCUGAAUUUGACAAAAGAUGACUCAACACCCUAAUUUUUAAAACCUGGAGUCCCCGCUCUGUCCCGCCCCAGAAGGGUGGUGGCAGCACGGCCUGGACUUCUCUGAACUGCAGGCAGGCCGGGGGCUGGACUGCAGGGAAUCAAGAAAAUGGACUCCCUUCUCCUGGGGACAUGAAUGCCAGCCACCAGCCAAGGUUCUCCAAGCUCUUCCAUUUGCCCCUCCAGAUCUGCUGCCAACCCUCUCCACCUGCUCUAUUCCCUGGGAGGCUGACCUGUAUGCUCUGCAUCAGCCCCUGCCUUGCCUCUGGCUUCUGACAUGUUUGGCCGAUGGCAAGUACUGGAAGGAGAUCAGCAGACACAGGAUUUUUUUUUUUCUUUUCAGGUAAUCAAUUUUUUUUUAAAUUAAAGUUUAUUGGGGUGAGAAUUGUUAAUACAAUUCUAUAAUAAAUCAUCCAUAUCUCACAUUGUGUGUUCACCACCCAGAGUCAGUUCUCUUUCCAUCACCAUAUAUUAGACUCCAUUUACCCUCUUCUAGAGCCCCGUUCCCCCCUUACCCUCUGGUAACCCCUAAACUAUUGUCUAUGUUUAUGAGUUUUUGUUUCUUCAUUUGUUUGUCUUGUUCAUUUGUUGUUUUCAGUUUUAUGUACCACAUAUCAGUGAAAUCAUAUGGUUCUCUGCUUUUUCUGUCUGACUUAUUUCGCUUAGCAUUAUAAUCUCAAGAUCCAUCCAUGUUGUCACAAAUGGUACUAUUUCAUCUUUUCUUACCGCCGAAUAGUAUUCCAUUGUGUAUAUAUACCACAACUUCUUUAUCCAUUCAUCUGUCGAAGGACAUUUUGGUUGUUUCCAUGUCUUGGCCACCGUAAAUAGAGCUGCAGUGAACAUUGGAGCACACGUGUCUUUAUGGAUAAAUAUUUUCAGAUUUUUGGGGUAGAUACCCAGGAGAGGGAU
rnacentral:lncRNA from 1 species